rnacentral:lncRNA from 1 species
ACUUAUAUGAUUACCUUGAAUGUGAUUUGGAACGACUUCCUAAAUCUCAUUCAUACUCUGGCAAAAGAUUCUUAAUCAUAUCAUAGAGUAUUCUUAAUCAUUCGCAAUUGAGCACCUACAUACUUGUCUUGGUGUCAAUCACACCAAUGACUCAAGACCAGUCACUCUCCCUAAGAGAAGACACAACACGUACUGAUCUUAACGGACUGUCAAUGCCCAAUUGGCAAUCCUAUAAUCAGGAAUGUUUAGGAUAUGUAUACGAAAGAGAAUGGUCUCAUGAAUCUAAAUUGUUUAAAUUACAUUCUCCUAAUUACAUAUUCCUUGGACUUAUUGUUU